UCCAUCGUGAGGUGGAAUCUGAAGGAAGUCGGAGGUCAGCGAAAAAAUGCAGGCGGGCAAACGCCUGAACCGAUGAACAGAAACACAUAGUAGGCCGUGGAAGCAGUGGAAGAAGUCCAAAACGAAGGUAGGCAACUUGAGACAGAUGGGCGUCCUGGCUGACAGGGUAUACC
rfam:Clostridiales bacterium 52_15 Ley3_66761_scaffold_3216, whole genome shotgun sequence.